CAUGGGACUUGUAACCGUCACUUCUGUCUUGAGAGGUUAAAAGUUAGAACAGUCUAGCCAAGUGCCAUGUCUCUUAUUCUUGAUCAGCUAUAGCUCUGGGUUUUUUUUUGCAGAUUUUCAAAUGAAACUCAGAGAUUACUUGUUUGACUCUCUCAUAUCUCUCUUUUGUGGUAUUUCUGGAUCCUUACCAAGGCAUUGAUGGUAUAUGUCUUCUCUCAAGAUAUGUGGUAUUUAUGGUAUAAGGCAUAGUGACAUUGCCUUCUCUCUCACCCUACUCUAAUAAGGCUUGAUAUCUGGAGCUCAUAGGUGAGAGACAGCUAAUACAUACUUACAAGACAUUUAUUGCAUAGUCAAACCAUGGAUCCAGAGAAACAAAUCAAUAAGCCAAAUCAAGAUGUGCAUGUGUGGCGAAUGAAUGGUGUAUGGUGAUGAUGGUAAUAACAAUUGUGAAAGUCUAAUUCUACUUUUGCUCUUUUGAGGGGAUACAUACCUUCUUGCUUUUUGAAACUUUAUGAGGAGAAUGAGAUGCUCUUCUUUUUCUUUCCUCUCAGGUGGGUAUCUUGUACCCCUAAUUCUACUGUCGGACACUUGUCUAUUUUUACCUCUCGUCUCACUUUUUCUUUCUUUCGAGGUUCCGAGCACUUGCCCCUUUUUAUUUCCUCGUUUAUAUAUUUUUUUCUUCUCUUUUCUUUCUCUUUUUUUUCAGAGCACUCAUCUCUUGAGAUAAUAUAGCAAGUGGUAGUAACCAAAAUAUUUGGAGCAUUUAUUUCACAGGGAAUAAGAGGGAUAAGAAAAUGUUUUUGACUAUUCUCUCCCGGAUUAGGAGUAGAAUAUUUUUGGGUGAUUCUAGAGAUGGAAAUGGAUGGAUAUAUGUGGAUGGUACUUCCGGAGUAGAAGUAGCAUAUAUGAGUGUAACAUCCCUGAUGUUACGAUUACUAAAAACGGAUCAUGUCAUCAUAAGCAUUGCAAAGCAUAUUUGUUAAAGCACAUUAGUAUGCAUCAACUUAAAAUAAGUUUACCUUGAUUGCUUGAGCUUAGGGAAGUAGAGUGUGCUUCUGUGGUGUGUUGUUGCUUGUGUGGUUGCUAAAACCCUAGGGUGGAAGUUUUCCGAAAAGCUAAGGGGGGGAAAACCCUGAUUUCUGGAUCCUAGAUUUGUCCCCUUUUGCAUAAGUCAAAAACUAAGCAAAAUUUGAGGUUGAGUUCAAAAGCAAAGUUGUAGCUCUUGGCAAGAUGUACAACUUUGGUGUUUUGAGUUUUUGAAGUUUCAAUACAAAAUUCAAAGUAAUUUUGAAAAUACAGAUUUCCAGAAAGUGUCCCCUUUUCCAACUUAAACCCCCAAUUCAAAAUCCAUUUGGAAUUUUGAAAAGUGGUCAACAUGAAAGUUGUAGAGCACAAAAAGUUGAGCAACUUUCAUGUUGGGAGUUUUUCAAGCUGUU
rnacentral:lncRNA from 1 species